rfam:Schistosoma haematobium scaffold1301_18, whole genome shotgun sequence.
AUUCAACUGACGAAUCCCGAAUAGGAUGAAACGCACGUCGUGGAU